rnacentral:rRNA from 1 species
UACGUAGGGGGCGAGCGUUGUCCGGAUUCAUUGGGCGUAAAGAGCUCGUAGGCGGCUCGGUAAGUCAGGUGUCAAAUCCUCAGGCUCAACCUGGGGCUCCACCUGAUACUGCUGUGGCUAGAGUCCGGUAGGGGAGCGUGGAAUUCCUGGUGUAGCGGUGAAAUGCGCAGAUAUCAGGAGGAACACCAGCGGCGAAGGCGGCGCUCUGGGCCGGAACUGACGCUGAGGAGCGAAAGCGUGGGUAGCAAACAGG